rnacentral:RNase_P_RNA from 1 species
GCGGAGGGCUGGAUGACUGCGGGCAGCAAUGUUCGAGGAAAGUCCGGACUCCAAGAGGCAACGGUGCUAGGUAACGCCUAGGCAGAGCAAUCUGACGGAAAGCGCCACAGAAAUGAAACUACCCAAGACUUCGGCCUUGGGAAAAGGUGAAACGGUGGGGUAAGAGCCCACCGCGCGCGUGGUGACACGGGCGGCACGGCAAGCCCCACCGGGAGCAAUGCCAAAUAGGGAUCGUUGGAAAGGGCAACCUUUCAGGGCCGCUUCUGCCCCGUGCGAUCCGGGUUGGCAGCUAGAGUGAUCUGGCAACAGAUCGCCCAGAGGAAUGGUCAUCCAUGCCCCGCAAGGGGUAAGACAGAAUCCGGCUUAUAGGCCCUCCGCGCAU